GUGGAAGUUGGAGGGGGAGUUGACUGGCACUUAUGAGAGGUUUGGGGGAGACUGCUGUUAAGAAGCGCUCACGUGGAUUAAGCACGUUCUUUUGCCAGGCUCCGUCCUCAGCCUUGACCUGCGCGACCUCAUUGAACCCGCCAGGGCUCCGAUGGACAGACGCCGAAUGAACUGGAAUAUCUGGAGCAGCGGAGACGCCGGGCGUGGAGGGUAAACCCCCGCGGACUCGCACACCCGCCUCCCAGGGCCGGCUACGUGGUUGAAGGGACAGCAGGACCUGGCGCGGGCGCAGGGAGCCUUUUCCUGGCCCGAGGGCGCCCCCUGGGGGCCGGAGCCUCCCAGCAGCUACGCCAUGCGGCAUGUGGGAUCUUAGCUCCCACACCAGGGAUUGAACCUGCGCCCCCUGCAUUGGAAGCACAGAGUCUUAACUACUGGACCUCCAGGGAAGUCCCCUUUUAGUUUAAUUUUUUAGUAUAGCUGCAUUUAAGUGCAAUAUCUUGGACAUACUUAUACCAAAAAACUGAUUCAUUGUUUAUCUGAAAUUCAAAUCUAAUUGGGCAUCCUGCAUUUUUAUUUGCUAAAUCUGGCAACCUAGGUCCUACAUAGGUAACAGGGACCAGGGGGAAUGGCAAGGGUCGGACAGCCCCAACCUGGACCCUGAAAACUCUGCCCUGCAGUCAGCCUGAAAGCCUCCUUUCCAAACUUCUGCCCUGGUACCUGGAAGGGGCGGGAGCCCAGAGACUCCUUGGGAGGAAUUAUUCCACUUCUGCCCACUUCUCUCCUCUCUCUGGGCCUAGUUUCCUUCUCUGUAAAAUGAAACUCAUGGUUUCUCUGCCCCGUUUCCCAACCUCUCCCAAGGAUCAAACACCUGAGUAGAGUAGGGGAUUCUCAGCUGACCGGAUGCACCCAGAAGGCAAACAGGCUUGUGAGAGUUUCUGUUCUUUGGCGCACCCAAGGGCCUUGAGGAAUAAUUAAGACAAAGGCCAUUUAGGUGAUGAUUAAAAGGAGAAAGCCAACUUCGUCACCUCCAAAUUUCACGAGAAGAAAAUCCAACAUCAGACAUCCACAUUCGUGAUAACCAUCAUCAAUCCAGGUGUAACAAAGAACACGGAGAAAAUCAGAAGUGACUGGGGGAAAUGCUGAGGUUCGGGGUGGUCUGUGGCUCCCCUGGCCUCUGUGGAAGGUGUCUCUGGAGAGAGCACCUGUGCCAUGGGUGGCCUAGGAAGCACCUAGCAAUGAGAACUUACUGGCUGCACAUGCUGAAGUUAAG